rnacentral:misc_RNA from 1 species
UUUAUUUUUUCUUUUUUUUUUUUCUGAUUUUUGCGCUUCACCUCACUCAGGCUUGCACCUUACACCUAGACUUCAGGACCUUUGUGCCUUGGUGCGCCUUUCACCAUUGAUAACUAUGCUUCAAUUCAAUAUCUCAUUAGCUUUAUUCAAAUCUUCAAUCAAAUUGUUUGCUUCAUACAAGCCUUGCUGAUUCACAUCCAUAAUUCGCACUUCGUAAAAAUAUGUCAAAUGUCGUAUCAUCCCCGUAAAGCAGCUUCAUUCUCAGCCUUCUUCUUUGAAAAUGCUCUAAAUCCUUCUUGUAUGUAAGUUUCUCUCUCAUCUUCAAACACAACUUUUGCUAGAAAAGUUGGUUGAUGACUUGGGCCUGAUUGAUCAUAUAUAUAUAUGUGGUUAGGGGCAAAAUCAAAUUUUCAAGCAAUUAUUUGAGAAUAGGUUUCAUUGGUAUUUUCAUAACAAUUUGUUCUUGAUUCUCCAUUUCUCCUAUUGGAUUUUUGCGUAUCCUUCACUUCAGAAAGUUUUCUCACACCCUUUCAACUUCUUAGAGAACCUUCUUAGCUUCUCCUUUCUCUUAAAAGACUCUUCUUGUCUUCCUGGAUACUUCUCUUGUCUUCUUCUCACUCUCGACGGGUUGUCUUCUUGUUUCCAAGUUCGGAGAUUUCAAAUGCAAACAAUACACUCAACAGGUCUUUUCUCAAGCCCGAAGUAAACAAGUAACGGAGAUAUCUUUCUUCACAAGUGUCUUCUUCACUCAAUGCUUAUAACACUAUCUUCCUAUGAUCAAACCUCAACUCUGAUACCACUUUGUUAGCAAUUAUGCUUUGAUAUCACGUUGUUAGUGAGGGGAAGGAUAGACACAAUCCUCAAAGAAUGUCUUGGAAGGGAUAUAACACCACACACCAAAACACUUGUAUUUUUAUAAGAUGUGAAAUUUCCAAUUCUCACUUAAUCUCUCUUGAUCUCUCUUACCUUUCUCACUUGCACAUCACUGUUUUUAUAGUAGAUAAUAUGACUCUUCAAUCCUAAGGACAUGAACCCAUUAAUGAACCAUACUAUUGACAUGCACUCUCUUAUUCACAUAUAUGUAUCAUACUUAAUAACAGUCACUUAAGUAGAAAUCACACUAAUUACUAGAUUAAUGUAUUCUUUAUUUUCUAGAUAUAACAAUUGAGUUUAAUUUUUCAACAUUUGCUUCUUGCUUUCCAUGUGAUUUAGCAAGUAUAUUUCCCAUGACCAUGCUAAUCAAAAAGAAAGAACAAUGAAGCUUUGAUAAGGGAAAGUAGGCUAUAAAUUGAAAAAGGAA